AUACGUAGGGUGCGAGCGUUGUCCGGAAUUACUGGGCGUAAAGAGCUCGUAGGUGGUUUGUCGCGUCGUCUGUGAAAUUCCGGGGCUUAACUCCGGGCGUGCAGGCGAUACGGGCGUAACUUGAGUACUGCAGGGGAGACUGGAAUUCCUGGUGUAGCGGUGAAAUGCGCAGAUAUCAGGAGGAACACCGGUGGCGAAGGGGGGUCUCUGGGCAGUAACUGACGCUGAGGAGCGAAAGCAUGGGUAGCGAACAGGAUUAGAUACCCUGGUAGUCCAUGCCGUAAACGGUGGGCGCUAGGUGUAGGGGUCUUCCACGACUUCUGUGCCGUAGCUAACGCAUUAAGCGCCCCGCCUGGGGAGUACGGCCGCAAGGCUAAAACUCAAAUGAAUUGACGGGG
rnacentral:rRNA from 1 species